rnacentral:tRNA from 1 species
GGAGAGGUGGCCGAGUGGACGAAGGCGCCAGACUCGAAAUCUGGUGUGCACCUUGUGUGCACCGGGGGUUCGAAUCCCUCCCUCUCCG